rnacentral:lncRNA from 1 species
GUGUGGAUAGGAAGUAGCAGGUUAUAGACCAGAAAUGAGGGUAUUUUAUAUUGACUGUUUUCUGUUUCCAUCUUAACAUAUAAUGUCUAUGUUUCCACAGGAGAAUCAACAGAAGUGUAAAUGACAUGGAUGGCAGCACUGCACAACAACAGGUGGAGCUGAUUCCAUGCUGAUGUUACAGGUGAAUGGAGGAUUGUGGAACCACUCAGCCGUGACAGCAAACAUGGACUCCUCAGAAAAGUCCAUGCAGAGUGGCCACGCCCCCCUGGACAUUAAAACCAUGAGCUGAUCUAGUUUCCAUCAUCUGGUCUAGACCCAUCACUUCUACAGACAACAGACAGAAUAAAGCUCAGAGUCAACAUGGGAUGCA